rnacentral:tRNA from 1 species
AUUUAAAUAGCUUAUAAGUUAGAGCGUAAUAUUGAAGAUAUUAAAGAGAUAAUUUUUAUCUUUAAAUA